ACUCCUACGGGAGGCAGCAGUGGGGAAUAUUGCACAAUGGGCGCAAGCCUGAUGCAGCCAUGCCGCGUGUGUGAAGAAGGCCUUCGGGUUGUAAAGCACUUUCAGUCGUGAGGAAGGUGGUAGUGUUAAUAGCACUAUCAUUUGACGUUAGCGACAGAAGAAGCACCGGCUAACUCCGUGCCAGCAGCCGCGGUAAUACGGAGGGUGCGAGCGUUAAUCGGAAUUACUGGGCGUAAAGCGCAUGCAGGUGGUUUGUUAAGUCAGAUGUGAAAGCCCGGGGCUCAACCUCGGAAUUGCAUUUGAAACUGGCAGACUAGAGUACUGUAGAGGGGGUAGAAUUUCAGGUGUAGCGGUGAAAUGCGUAGAGAUCUGAAGGAAUACCGGUGGCGAAGGCGGCCCCCUGGACAGAUACUGACACUCAGAUGCGAAAGCGUGGGGAGCAAACAGGAUUAGAU
rnacentral:rRNA from 1 species